rnacentral:rRNA from 1 species
AUUGAACGCAGGCGGCAGGCUUAACACAUGCAAGUCGAACGAGUGGCGGACGGGUGAGUAAUGCUUGGGAAUCUAGCCUAUGGAGGGGGAUAACUACGGGAAACUGUAGCUAAUACCGCGUACCGUAGGAUGAGCCCACGUGGGAUGAGGUAGUUUGUGAGGUAAAGGCUCACCAAGCCGACGAUCUCUAGCUGUUCUGAGAGGAUGACCAGCCACUCUGGGACUGAGACACGGCCCAGACUCCGACGGGAGGCAGCAGUGGGAAAUAUUGCGCAAUGGGGGCAACCAGACGUAGCCAUGCCGCGUGAAUGAAGAAGGCAUUCGGGAUGUAAAGUUCAUGCGGUAGCGAGGCGUUAACUACAGAAGAAGCACCGGCUAACUCCGUGCCAGCAGCCGCGGUAAUUC